rnacentral:rRNA from 1 species
AUUGAACGCUAGCGGGAUGCUUUACACAUGCAAGUCGAACGGCAGCGCGGACUUAGGUCUGGCGGCGAGUGGCGAACGGGUGAGUAAUGUAUCGGAACGUGCCCAGUAGCGGGGGAUAACUACGCGAAAGCGUGGCUAAUACCGCAUACGCCCUACGGGGGAAAGGGGGGGAUUCUUCGGAACCUCUCACUAUUGGAGCGGCCGAUAUCGGAUUAGCUAGUUGGUGGGGUAAAGGCCUACCAAGGCGACGAUCCGUAGCUGGUUUGAGAGGACGACCAGCCACACUGGGACUGAGACACGGCCCAGACUCCUACGGGAGGCAGCAGUGGGGAAUUUUGGACAAUGGGGGCAACCCUGAUCCAGCCAUCCCGCGUGUGCGAUGAAGGCCUUCGGGUUGUAAAGCACUUUUGGCAGGGAAGAAAUAGGUCUGGCUAAUAUCUGGACUGAAUGACGGUACCUGCAGAGUAAGCACCGGCUAACUACGUGCCAGCCGCCGCAGUAACAC